rnacentral:tRNA from 1 species
GCCGAGGUAGCUCAACGGUAGAGCAGCGCAUUCGUAAUGCGCAGGUUGUGGGUUCAAAUCCCAUCCUCGGCUUCA